AACGAACGCUGGCGGCAGGCCUAAUACAUGCAAGUCGAACGCUCCAGCAAUGGAGAGCGGCAGACGGGUGAGUAACGCGUGGGAACCUUCCCAGUGGUACGGAAUAGCUCAGGGAAACUUGAGGUAAUACCGUAUACGCCCUUCGGGGGAAAGAUUUAUCGCCAUUGGAUGGGCCCGCGUCGGAUUGGCUAGUUGGUAGGGUAAUGGCCUACCAAGGCGACGAUCCGUAGCUGGUCUGAGAGGAUGAUCAGCCACACUGGGACUGAGACACGGCCCAGACUCCUACGGGAGGCAGCAGUAGGGAAUAUUGGACAAUGGGCGAAAGCCUGAUCCAGCCAUGCCGCGUGAGUGACGAAGGCCUUCGGGUUGUAAAGCUCUUUUGGCGGGGACGAUAAUGACGGUACCCGCAGAAUAAGCUCCGGCUAACUUCGUGCCAGCCGCCGCCGUAAUAC
rnacentral:rRNA from 1 species